CUUAUAGAUGAAGAAGCUUCGGCUCUGAAUAUCUAUGGCUAGAUAAAGUACAAGUCGUAACAAGGUUUCAGUUGGAGAACCAGCUGAAGGAUCAUU
rnacentral:rRNA from 1 species